GGAGAUGUGGUGUAGUGGUAUCACGUAACGUUGUGGCCGUUCCGACCCCGGUUCGAUUCCGGGCAUCUCCA
rnacentral:tRNA from 2 species